CCCUGAUUGAUUUGAUUUUUUUGUUGUUGUUUUAAUUUCUUUUUUAAGUUGAUUUAUUUAUUUAUUUUGAGAGACAGCAAGAGCUCGCACGCGGGAAGGAGCAGAGAGAGAGAUUCCCCAGCAGGCCCCAUGCUCCACCACGGAGCUCAAUCUCAAGACUGAGAUCAUGACCUGAGCCGAAAUCAAGAGUGGGAUGUUCAACCAACUGAGCCACCCAGCUGCCAUACCGUGAGGAAGCCCAAACUGCAGGGAGAGGACACGCCACAGGGAGAGGACACGUGUAGUGACGCCGGUCGGCAGCCCCAGCAGAGAUUCGAGGCAGAAGCCAGUGCCAGCCACCAGAUGUGAGUGAGGAAGCCUUUAAGGUGAGCCCAGCCCCAGCCAGUUUCUGCAAUUGCAUUAGAUACCUUGAACAAGAACCAGCCCCAGAACCGUGAAAGAAUAACAAUUGUUGUUGCCUUUUACCACUAAGUUUGGAGUUGUUACACAGCACUGUAUAACCAGAACAACUUGCAUUAACUGAUUUAGUUCUUCCGACAACCCUAGGAGAGGGAAUGGCUGGGCAACGUUCCCAAAGUUACAGCAUGAGUAAGUGGUAGAACUGGGAUGUGAACCCUGGUAGAGGUACUACAGAGUCAGGGUCAUAGCCCUUAGUCUCUGUGGCCAAUAUAUCUUGAUUCCCUGCCCGGCACUCCUUUCCCUUCUGGUUCCAGCACCUGAUUUUCCUUUGGGACCACUCCUCCCACAUCCUCAGUCCAUACGGUUCAGAUGGAACUGAGCCCACCUUGGGCCUUCAGGCACAAGCCCGUAACCCAUUAUCAGGCCACCUUUGGGCACCACGAUUGGUUUGGUGAUGGGCUCAUAAUGAAACUGGAUCAUUGAGUGCCAGCACUGGGAACUUUGCUGGUUUUACAGAGAAAUAGAAAUAGAGCCACUGGAAGGUGCCUGGAUGGCUCCGUUGGUUAAGCAUCUGACUUCAGCUCAGGUCAUGAUCUCACAGCUUGUGGGUUUGAGCCCCCUGUCGGGCUCUGUGCUGACAGCUCAGAGCCUGGAGCCUGUUUCAGAUUCUGUGUCUCUGUCUCUCUCUGCCCCUUUCCUGCUUGUGCUCUCUCUCUCUCUCUCUCUCUCUCUCUCUCUCUCUCUCUCUCUCAAAUGAAUAAACAUUUUUAAAAAUUACAAAAAAGAAAGAAAUAGACCCACUGGAAUCAUGUAGUUACUGGUCUAUCUUAGCUACUGUGAGGAGAUCCUGUCCAAAAGUAUAGCCAAGAAAAAGAUACAGAUAGAUUCCUAACAUUUUAGGACCUAGAUACAGCCAAUCCUGAAGCUUAUCACUGUUGGCUAAAGAUACUUUGAACUGAGUUUCUCUUGCUUCUGAAAGAGGCCUGCUACUCUCCCAGUGAGGCAUUUCUCUUCUAUCCCAUCUUCCUGGAGGGCAGAGAAUGGGCCUGAUCUACCUAACUCAGAACAGGAGGCAUCCGUCAGUCGUGUCCUAUUGGACAGAACUAAAAGUCACACUGCCCCUGCUUUACUGGUGAGGAAACUGAGGCUGUCAUAGGGCCUGUGUAUAGGAGGAGGAGGAGGAUUAGGAGUAAUGCUUACAUCCCAGAUUUUAAAUGAGUCAAGUCAUGUGAGGUCGAGGACUGGGAUUUGGAAGAAAGGGAGGAAGAAGGAAGGGGGUGUUAUGCCAGCCACUGUUGGGUCUGCUUAGCAGGGAGGGCCAUGAAGCUUGUCUUGAGGUCUGUACAAGUCAAGGAGCUUCUUGGGCCUCGUGGCACACACUUGGGGAGCAUACCUCUUGCCCUUGCCAGCCCCUCUUCUGGACCCCUUUCUGUUUCUGACACCUGGAUAUUCCAAGUUAUGAAAUUGCUCACAAUAUAGGCUGUCAUUUACAUGUUAGUGUGAAUCACUUAUUAAUUCUCGGACCUGAGGCCUCUGCAGUGACAUUUCUGGCAGCUAUCCUUCCCGCCUGUUUUCCCAAGAAGCAGCCACAUCACAGUGCUUUCGAGCUGGCAACUUUAUUCAGUGGGGGAAGAGGGGAAAAUGAGCUAGAGUUGGGCUAUUUCUCUAAUAACCUGGAGAAGGGCUAGUCUCUGGGACUCCAGAAGGAGGGACAGGACUUUGGAAGCUAGAAAGCGGAGAGGGAGAGGGGUGGCGCUCUGGGUGUCUUGGGCCGGGUGGGGGGAAGGGACGCAUCUUCCAUCCAAGGCCCAGCGCCCCCUAGGGGCCGCUGCCGCUUCCACUACCACUCCCGCUGCCCGCAGCAUCCAGGAUCCAGGUGCGGGAGCGGCGGGACCGCGGGAAACUGAUUUCCCGGGCCCUCCGUUCGUGUCUGCGACCCGGCAGUACCGAGAUGGAAAUGUUGAGGCAGUGAUCCGCGCCAGGAGCUGCUACCGGCAGCACGUAGCCCAGGACUGAGCGGCAAAGGUCUGCCCCAUCGGCAAAGGUCUGGGGAAAGGGGUGGAGUUAGGGCCCGAGUGGGCGGAGUCCAGGCAAUUCAGGGGCGUGGCCCUGGCAACCUAGAGUCCCCGAGUUUCUUUGCAAGUAGGGGCCAGGGCAGAGGCGCGGCCUAGGUGCGGGCAGUUACCCGCUUUGGGUCCUCCCGGGAGUGUGGGAGCAGGGCCAUGGCAGGAGCGGAGUACAGGGGAGGGCGAGUUAUCCUUCCUGGGCCCCAGGGCCGGGGUGGGGGAGGGUCAAAUUAAGAUUGGGGCUUUAGAGAAGGUAAUUCGGGCUUCUGAGUCUUCCAGGGGGAACUGUGGAUGGGCCUAGAGCAGAGACGGUCCCUUGGGGAGGCCAAAUCCAGACUCAAUGGUCCCUAGGGAGCAUACGGGCGUAUCCCACUAUGGAGAUUGUGCUGCGGAAGGGGGAAGCGUGGGAACAGGAGCCUUGGGAGUGCCAGUCCGGACUCCGGGCCCUAGGCGGGUUAAGACAGGACAUAGUAAGGGGAGGUCCCAGUCUCUCACCCGCGCUCUCUGUCUCAAGCUCACCUGCUCAUAGGUAGCGCAGCCAGGCUCACAGCCCCUCUUUUCUGGGAAUGGAAGCCAAGUUGGGCCGCAGGUAAUAUCGCUUUCGCAGGUGGCAAACCUACGGAUGGUGUGUGGAGAGAAGGUGGGCAAUCGCGUUCUGUUGGGAUCCUGCCCUCCAAGGCUUCACUCAGUACAUCGCAGAGCUCAGAACAGAGCGGCUGCGCCUGGCGUAUCCCCAGUAGCAGCAGGCGGAAGCGACUCUGGAGGGCAGCUUGGAGAUGUCCCAGGAAGGAUUCGCACCUGAACAGCGGGAAAGACAGGCUCGUUUGGGUCAGGAUGUGGCAGGGCCAACUGAAGCAAAACACACAACGAAACGCUGGCGGGUACUGUACUCACCCAGGGCUCGGCUCCCCACAGCGUUCUGGGACCGCCCCAGGGUCCGAUGCCUCUGGCGUGUCCAUCUCUGAAGGACAACAGGACCAUGGAGAAGGUUACUCCUGUGAGGUGGGGUCUUAGAUCCUCAGGUAGGAUUGGGGAACUAAGGCCUGGGGGCCCCUUGAACAGGGGAGACCCCAGUUAUGCCAGGGCCCCUCAAACAUAAAACUUAAAUAAAGACACUUCUCUUGGGAUCCAAAUGCAAUUUCUAGUAAUAAUAAAAAUGAUGGCUUAUCAUAAUCAGCUUAUCGUUCAUUACGUCCCUGAUAGUGGUACACGUUUUCAUAUGCUUACA